CAAACUAUAAAUCAUUUACAUAUUCACAUUCAGAAAUAUUAUUCAUUUAUUAUUCACAUACUUUGUGGAUCCAUCAUUAUUAUUAUCUCUAUUUACAAAUUAUCUAUAAAUCUGCCAAAAGGAGGAUAAGACAUGACUUCUCCAUCUCUUCUUCUGCUUCUUCUUUUUUUUUUUUUUUUCCCUUUUCCAUGCACGCCUUUAUCAGAACCAAGUUUGAUUUCCUAACCACAGUGACAGUAGUUAUAAUGUCCAUUGUGGGUAUGAUAAUAUGUGGUGUUGUCAUAUUAUACUUCCACUGCUGACGUGACAACACCACAUGUUGCCACAUCCACAACAAACAUUAUAACUCCUGUUUACAAUGGACAAGAGAUCAGGUCAACUAUCAUAGCAUAUUUUGCUAAGCUUAAAAAUUUAGCAUCUAAACUAAUGUAAAAAUUACUUGUAAGUGAUUUUUUUUCUUAAAAGUAAAAAAGAAGGUUAACUGUUCAAACACCUUUGGAAGAGUUACAGUAAUCCUCAGGGGUCUUACCCAGUUUUUCAAGAAGUCUAGGGAAAGGGAAGGAGAGCAUAAUUCAAGCAAGGUGAGAAAGUGAAGUUUCAGUUUAUUUUGAUACAAUUUUUGGAACGGAAUCAUCUUAACUGAAGUGUCCGUACUUAUUUUUCUUGGAGUACAAGCUCACGGAAGAAAUUAACAAAACAUAAUUGGUUGCAAUAUUCGAGCCAAAGAGCACUACAGUGUUUUAGACACACUUGCGAAUAUUAGUCGAUAGUAGGGAGAAAAAGAAAUAGCUGCAGCUUGGAUCCUUAUUGCUCUUGCUAUAGCAUUAUCCGGCUUUAAUCUUUUGCCUAUUGUCUCGAUCCGGAUAAUUCUUAAAGCACCAGCUUCUGAGAAUAAUUUUCUGUAAAUGCUUUGUCCGAUAAAAUAACUUUUAUAGAAAGUUAACCUAAGAAGUAGAAGUCCUGCCGAACGGCCUCCUAGUAUUACCUCAAGUAAUGUAAAGAUGUGCCAUGAACUAGUUGAGUCUCUCAAGACAAAAUAACAAUUUAGUGCAAUAACCAAAUUAUGCAUGUAAAUUAAUUUUUUUUUCACUGCUGUAAAUUGUACCGUUUAGUUCAUUAAUAAAUAAAGUCAAUUUUGUUCGAUCUUUUUAAUUUUUAGAUUUUAUUUAUUAUUGUUUAUGAAAGAAAGAAUGAAGGAAUAAACUUUCAAAAUAAAUAUUGUACACAACUUUUGUGCACUUUAAGGAAUUCAAUCGGCUGUCGGUUAGGCGAUGUU
rnacentral:lncRNA from 1 species